UUGGAUAACUGUGGCAAUUCUAGAGCUAAUACAUGCGAAAAAGCUCGGACUGAAAGGAACGAGCGCAUUUAUUAGAAUAAAAACCAAUCGGGUCCUAAAAAGCCCGUCGUUUGGUGAAUCUGAAUAACUUUGCUGAUCGCACGGUCCUAGUACCGGCGACGUAUCUUUCAAGUGUCUGCCUUAUCAACUUUCGAUGGUAGGUUAUACGCCUACCAUGGUAGUAACGGGUAACGGAGAAUAAGGGUUCGACUCCGGAGAGGGAGCCUGAGAAACGGCUACCACAUCCAAGGAAGGCAGCAGGCGCGCAAAUUACCCACUUCCAGAACGGAGAGGUAGUGACGAAAAAUAACGAGACAGUCCUCUCUGAGGUCUGUCAUCGGAAUGGGUACAAUUUAAAUCCUUUAACGAGGAUCUAUUCCCCCCGCAAGUCUGGUGCCAGCAGCCGCGGUAAUUCCAGCUCCAAUAGCGUAUAUUAAAGUUGUUGCGGUUAAAACGCUCGUAGUUGAAUCUGCGGCCUGGGAGAACGGACCCCCGAAAGGGCGGAAACUGUUACUCCUAGCCUAAAUUUUUAGUCUACUCUACGGUGCCUUUAAUCGGGUGCUUAGAGUGACUGGAACGUUUACUUUUGAAAAAUUAGAGUGCUUAAAGCAGGCAAAUUUGCUUGAAUAAGGUGCAUGGAAUAAUGGAAUAGAACCUCGGUUCUAUUUUGUUGGUUUUCGGAGCCUGAGGUAAUGAUUAAGAGGAACAGACGGGGGCAUUCGUAUUCCGGCGCUAGAGGUGAAAUUCUUGGACCGCCGGAAGACGGACGACUGCGAAAGCAUUUGCCAAGAAUGUUUUCAUUAAUCAAGAACGAAAGUUAGAGGUUCGAAGGCGAUCAGAUACCGCCCUAGUUCUAACCGUAAACGAUGACAACCAGCGAUUAGUCGGCGUUAAUAUAUGACCCGACUAGCAGCUUCCGGGAAACCAAAGUUUUUCGUUUCCGGGGGAAGUAUGGUUGCAAAGCUGAAACUUAAAGGAAUUGACGGAAGGGCACCACCAGGAGUGGAGCCUGCGGCUUAAUUUGACUCAACACGGGAAAACUCACCCGGCCCGGACACCGUAAGGAUUGACAGAUUGAGAGCUCUUUCUUAAUUCGGUGGGUGGUGGUGCAUGGCCGUUCUUAGUUGGUGGAGCGAUUUGUCUGGUUAAUUCCGAUAACGAACGAGACUCUGGCCUAUUAAAUAGCUGGUAUAUAUUGAAAAGUUUACCACGCUUCUUAGAGGGACAACCGGCUUCUAGCCGCGUGAAAUAGAGCAAUAACAGGUCUGUGAUGCCCUUAGAUGUCCGGGGCUGCACGCGCGCUACACUGAAAGAAUCAGUAUGCGCUUUUCGCCUAGUUCGGAAGAACCGGGUAACCCUAGCAAAUUCUUUCGUGCUUGGGAUAGGGAAUUGCAAUUAUUUCCCUUGAACGAGGAAUUCCCAGUAAAUGCGGGUCAUAAGCUCGCGUUGAUUACGUCCCUGCCCUUUGUACACACCGCCCGUCGCUACUACCGAUUGGAUGACUUAGUGAGGUCUUAGGACCGAGGUAAUGGAGCUUUUAUUAGUUCUUUUGGUUUGGAAAUUUGAUCGAACUACGUUAUCUAGAGGAAGUAAAAGUCGUAACAAGGUUUCCGUAGGUGAACCUGCAGAAGGAUCAUUAACGAGCUAAAAUAUUUCUAAAGUAACCCGAUUUCGAGAGAUACGUAUCUCUUUAUCUCUCGCUGGUGAACAUAUAUUUAUAUCCCAAACCCCCGGGGGGAAAAAGGGGGGGCGCUUAAUAUCCGGGCAAACUCCCCCCCCCGGGGGGAGAGGGGGACCAGAGAGGGUUCAGAAUCUUUCCCCCCGAUCUUGAGAAUAUUUAUUUUUUUUGAGAGGGGGAAAGGGAGAACCGAGGGAGAGCGACAAUAUGCGCGCGUGGGAAAAGACGCCCUUAUACUCCCCAUUUUUAUUACGAGACCCCGCGCGGUGUUUGUUGUGUUUUUGGGCCCCCCUCUCCCCGGAAAAUGGCGCGCGUCUCGGGGGUGUGCGCGGUUUCUCGCCCACAACAGAGAGAGAGAAAAGGGGGGGCUUAACCCCCCUCGCCCCUUCCGCUUUUUUUUAAAAAAAGGAGAACUCUUUUAAAAAAAAGAGAGUUUUUUCUCUAUUGGGGGGGACACUCUCACACUCGCAAAUUUUUGUGCAAGAGAGAGUACUUUGUGGAAGAAAAAAGCGCCCACAAUGAUAUAUAAGACUCUCUCGCCUCGCGUGAGUCUCCUCUGUGGACAUCUAGGCGGCUGCUGUAUACUAUACAUUUCUCUGUGGGUGAAGAGACACGCGACAGCUGUGGAACCCAAUAUUACUUUUUUCCUCUCCUGUAAAAAGACUGAGAGAGGGAAAGGAAGAGUAUAGAGAGAGUGUGUGAGUAUCGUAUGAAUCGUGGUGUGAUAUCUCGUAGAGGAAACAUUAUGACCGAAGUCACUGUAGAGACUGUGGAAUAUUAUUAAUAUCUGAUUCCUACGGUUGGAUGUUAUAGCAAAUCU
rnacentral:rRNA from 1 species